CAAUAAUGACGUACAGUGAAGUGAAUGAUGUUGCGCACAUAAGAAUAAGAUGGCCGUCAUUUUGAAAAUGACCAAAGUAUGGAACAUAAUGUCAAUAAUGGUUGCGGUAACGCGACUAACGUCUUAUCCUUCCACUGGCAGCCUAGCGGGUAUAUCGCUCCGCCCUCUCGCCUUCCGCCUCACAAUCGCAAGUCACGACUCACGAGCGUCAGUUGGUGCUGGUAGUGUGACGCGAAAGGAAAGGAGAACAUCUUGCUUCCACAGCCACGAGAAGUACACAGGGAGAUGGUAAUGGAGGCGUCAAGAUGUCUUGUCAUGGUGGCGUCUGUCAUUGCCUUGAGUCGGUGGUGUAGUGCAGACCUGCCCGAGCGAUUGCUGGUCCACGAGGCGGCCAAGGACUCCCUUGCCACUUGUCACCUGGUGCUGAUGGUCUCCACGCCACGCUCGCCGCUGCUCGUCUCUCUCGACAGUCUAGCAACGGCAUCACGAUCUCGGUGGCUGCGGUCUGUGGAAUCUUAUACAGCAGGGCGCUCUCGAACUAAGCUGAUAAGGAGUUCCACAUCCAUAUUCACACCACGACUGACGCGCUGUGACUGCCUUGAAA